rnacentral:rRNA from 1 species
GGCGAGUGAAGCGGCAACAGCUCAAAUUUGAAAUCUGGCCCCAGGCCCGAGUUGUAAUUUGCAGAGGAUGCUUUUGGCGCGGUGCCUUCCGAGUUCCCUGGAACGGGACGCCAUAGAGGGUGAGAGCCCCGUACGGUUGGACACCAAGCCUUUGUAAAGCUCCUUCGACGAGUCGAGUAGUUUGGGAAUGCUGCUCAAAAUGGGAGGUAUAUUUCUUCUAAAGCUAAAUAUAGGCCAGAGACCGAUAGCGCACAAGUAGAGUGAUCGAAAGAUGAAAAGCACUUUGAAAAGAGGGUUAAACAGCACGUGAAAUUGUUAAAAGGGAAGCGCUUGUGACCAGACUUGCGUCCGGUGAAUCACCCAGCUCUCGCGGCUGGGGCACUUCGCCGGCACAGGCCAGCAUCAGCUUGCCGUCGGGGACAAAAGCUUCAGGAACGUAGCUCUCUUCGGGGAGUGUUAUAGCCUGUUGCAUAAUACCCUUCGGCGGGCUGAGGUACGCGCUCCGCAAGGAUGCUGGCGUAAUGGUCAUCAGCGACCCGUCUUGAAACACGGACCAAGGAGUCAACCUUAUGUGCGAGUGUUUGGGUGUUAAACCCCUACGCGUAAUGAAAGUGAACGCAGGUGAGAGCUUCGGCGCAUCAUCGACCGAUCCUGAUGUUCUCGGAUGGAUUUGAGUAAGAGCAUAUAGGGUUGGACCCGAAAGAAGGUGAACUAUGCGUGUGUAGGGUGAAGCCAGAGGAAACUCUGGUGGAGGCUCGCAGCGGUUCUGACGUGCAAAUCGAUCGUCAAACAUGCGCAU